rnacentral:rRNA from 1 species
GAUGAACGCUGGCGGCGUGCCUAAUACAUGCAAGUCGAGCGAACAGAUGAGGAGCUUGCUCCUCUGACGUUAGCGGCGGACGGGCGAGUAACACGUGGAUAACCUACCUAUAAGACUGGGAUAACUUCGGGAAACCGGAGCUAAUACUGGAUAAUAUAUCGAACCGCAUGGUUCAAUAGUGAAAGACGGCUUUGCUGUCACUUAUAGAUGGAUCCGCGCCGCAUUAGCUAGUUGGUAAGGUAACGGCAUACCAAGGCAACGAUGCGUAGCCGACCUGAGAGGGUGAUCGGCCACACUGGAACUGAGACACGGUCCAGACUCCUACGGGAGGCAGCAGUAGGGAAUCUUCCGCAAUGGGCGAAAGCCUGACGGAGCAACACCGCGUGAGUGAUGAAGGUCUUCGGAUCGUAAAGCUCUGUUAUUAGGGAAGAACAAAUGUGUAAGUAACUAUGCACGUCUUGACGGUACCUAAUCAGAAAGCCACGGCUAACUACGUG